GUCGCUUCUCGGCCUUUUGGCUAAGAUCACGUGUAGAAACAACGUCCAAACUAUAUGAAAAUUUCUGUGGUCUAACCUCUGUUGUCAAAUGGCUGUUUACUGUCAACAGAGGUGUGAAUAAAACAAACAAAAAUUUCUCGACAUGAUCAUUAAAUUCACAGCUAUU
rnacentral:snRNA from 1 species